rnacentral:rRNA from 1 species
UUGAACGCUGGCGGCAUGCCUUACACAUGCAAGUCGAACGGUAACAGGUCUUCGGAUGCUGACGAGUGGCGAACGGGUGAGUAAUGCAUCGGAACGUACCCAGUCGUGGGGGAUAACUACGCGAAAGCGUAGCUAAUACCGCAUACGCCCUGAGGGGGAAAGCGGGGGACCUUCGGGCCUCGCGCGAUUGGAGCGGCUGAUGUCGGAUUAGCUGGUUGGUGGGGUAAAGGCCUACCAAGGCGACGAUCUGUAGCUGGUCUGAGAGGACGACCAGCCACACUGGGACUGAGACACGGCCCAGACUCCUACGGGAGGCAGCAGUGGGGAAUUUUGGACAAUGGGCGCAAGCCUGAUCCAGCAAUGCCGCGUGCAGGAAGAAGGCCUUCGGGUUGUAAACUGCUUUUGUACGGAGCGAAAAGGCUCUCUCUAAUACAGGGGGCUCAUGACGGUACCGUAAGAAUAAGCACCGGCUAACUACGU